CCUCCAUUGUCUUCCUAAGACACCAAUAGAUUGGUCAAGUCGGCUAACAAAAUCAAUUAAAUAACUAUAUCUCAUUAACUUAUCUUAGACACCAAUAGGUCGAUUAAACAGAAUUGAUUAGCUCAAGUAAAUCAGGCUCAAACCAACGAGCCAAAUUAGGUCCUUAGGUUAAUCGAUUCUACAUAUGAGAUUCAAUCGAUUUGAUCAAC
rnacentral:lncRNA from 1 species